CAGUCGCCGCGGUAACACGUAGGUGGCAAGCGUUGUCCGGAAUUAUUGGGCGUAAAGGGCUCGCAGGCGGUUUCUUAAGUCUGAUGUGAAAGCCCCCGGCUCAACCCAUAGUCUGCAUAGGAAACUGUCGGGCUUGAGAGUGGGAGAGGUGAGUGGAAUUCCACGUGUAGCGGUGAAAUGCGUAGAGAUGUGGAGGAACACCAGUGGCGAAGGCGACUCUCUGGUCUGUAACUGACGCUGAGGAGCGAGAGCGUGGGGAGCGAACAGGAUUAGAGACCCCCGUAGUCCCUGUCUCUUAUAA
rnacentral:rRNA from 1 species